GACCGUGUGGAACCUGCUUAGCAUUCUCUCUCUUCCUCUCUCUCUGCCCCUUUCCUGCUUGCUUUUUCUCUGUCUCAAAAUAAAUAAACUUAAAAACACGUUAUAAAAUCAAUGUAGACUUCUGGAAGAGUUGUGAAGGUCGUGCAGUGUCCCCGUGCGCACCUUUCCUCAGCCACCCCUCGUGAACACCUUACACCACCGUGUGCGUUUAUCAAAACUAAGGCCCUAACUUUGGGCCAACGUGUCUACCCUGCCAUCACUUUGUUAGGAUUGCCCCAGUUUCUCUGCCAGUAUCCCCUCCCUAUCCCAGGAUCCAAUCCAGGAUAGCACACGCUAACCCCCAGCUCUCUGUCUCUGCAGUUUAGGACAGUUUUUUCAUCUUCCCUUGUUUUUACGACUGUGGCACUUUGGGAGGGUGCUGGUCAGGUAUCUUGUAGAGCAUCCCUCUGGUUUGGGUUUGUUUGCUGAUUCUCACGACUAGACUGAGGUGGUUGAUUUUGGAGAACGAUACUACAGAGGUGAUGUGCCUUCUCGUCGGAUCGUAUCAGGGUGUGUGGUGUCAAUAUGGCUGUCAAGGCUGACCGCGAUCACUGGGUCAAGGUGGUGUCUGCCGACCUCUCCACUGUGAAGUUACUGCUUUCCUCUUCCCGUGCUCUUUUCUUCAGAAGUGAGAGAGUAUGUCUUGCCCACUCUCAAGCAGAGGGGCGUCUGGUGCCACCUUCUGGGGAGGGCAUCGAAGAAUUUGGGCACACACGAAAAUCAUUACAGCAAUUGGUACAUUUUAGGGGAGAGCUGUGGAGGCCAAUCAAGCAUUUUGUUUCUCCUUCAAGUUUUGCCACGUACGUCUGGCAUUUAUCUACGAAUUUUUCUGCAGGCAUUAUUCUUCUGGUAUUCUAAUGGUGAUUUUGUAUUGCUCUUGGUAUUUCUAUAAGUAUUAAGUGGAAUUUUUGCUGUCUUCUGUAUUUAUUCAGUUAUUUCUUUCCAUCAGUAUGGGCUCAUGAAUAUUUAUCUUACUUUGAGGGUUGUGAUCCCACACUGCCAUUAUUUGUUAGGUUGCUCAUACUGCCCCACAUUUGACUUGUAUGGGUGCCUCUGGUUGAUUGCCGUGCCCUCCUGACAUGCAUGCAUCCUGUUUGUUCAUAUUUUGAGUAGUUUCUCACUUUGUGUUUCCACGAGACAGUCGAGGUACGUCUUAUAGUUUCCCUGCCUGGCCUGGAGGCUUCUCUGGGGAGUCCUGGCUCUGUUUGCUGGGGAUGAUUCAGAAGCCAGGGGCUGGGGCUGGAUGUGCUCCUGCUGUGGGGUGUCCAGCACCCCCAGGAGCUAUUUUUUUGAUCCACUAGGUUUCCCUUUGGGAAGGUGGGCCUGUUUCUGUCAUGGUUUUGUCUGUUCUUGCUCAGAGCUCCCCCUCCCCCGCCUGGCAGAGUGGAGCUGCUCCGGUCGUGCUCCUGGUGUGGCUCCUGGGUUUUGCAUGUUUGUUCUGUCUCCAGGUCAUGGUGGAGGGAUGUGGUGUGCCCUUGGCUUCACAGAGAAGUAAUGGGGUCCCAGCCCUUGUGUGGCUACCGUGCUGGCCACUUCACGGGGGUCUGUUAAUCUGGAAAGUCCCAUCUUUCAGUUCUAGCAAGUUUUCUUGUAUUAUUUUUUGGAUAAUCUCACUUCCCUUUUUCCUCUUUAAAUAUAUAUUUACUAAAUACAUGCUAUUAGAAGACUCAAAGAACUGAAAAAGAAAUGAAAACUUGGCACAGCGUCUGUCAGUGAGCAAAAAAACGUGGUGCUAUUUUCUCAUUUAGCUGCCACGAAAGUCGACUGUGGAUCCUUUUUAGUGAUUUUCAUCUUGGUUUCCUCAUUCAAGCAUCUCAUGGCAAGAGGAAUUCAGGGGAGAUUUAAAAGACUGAAGGUCUUUUGUUGGUUUUUCCAAACUGCAUAGUAUGCCAGCCUGCUGACGGCUCUCUCAGGGGGCUCGAACACCGGCAGGGUCCUGCCCAGGAAAACCCACGAGGGUGUCUUGCAAGCACCCACUCACUGCUUGGCCAGCUCUCUUACUGGAACAUGGCUGUGAGUGUCGAAUUUGGUGAAAUGACCAGCCAAGCUGCAGUGAUACAGGUGCAGGUGUGUGUGGGCAGCUGGCCCUGCACACAGUAGGCAUCAACUCCAUGAACUGGUAGAAGAAAUGAGGGGGGCACUUGCAAGUGAGGGGGCCCCAGGGCCUCCGGCCCCUUUCCAAUAGCAAAGCCAUCAUUGCAGAGCAGGGGACAUGUGGCCCAUCAAGAAGCAGACCUCACACACCUGCACAGGGCCAGCAGCCAUCUCUGAAGUGCAGGAGAGACAGAAUUGAGGCUUGGAGUCCAGCAGACCUGGGUCUGAAUCCAGUUCUUUCCUGGGAGGCCUACUGGGUCAUGUGGGCAAGUCACUUUGUGUCCCAGAGCAAGCUCACCUGAACGGCAGAUGUAACUCGACCCUUCCCCCACACCUGGGUGGCCCGGUUCUCCAAGGAAACUGUUCUGUGCCCUCCGCUGCUCUAGGGUAAGCUUCUCUCCAGGGUGUGUGGCUGCCCCCCUGGAGGGAGCGAGAGCUGCCCUCUGCCCCCGGCCUCGACAUGAGACACCCAGGGCCCAGAGGAGGAAUGCAGAUGCCUGGGGCCACCACAUGGGGGUCGCAGGGCACAACUGGCCUCUCUGGGACAGCGACAAUGUCUGAAAUUCCAUUGGAAAUCUAUUUUCAAAAUUGCUGGAUUAAUCCUUGAAACUUCUUUCUCUGAAUUUCCAUCUCCGUCUUCGUUUCCCUUUCCGGAUGACUUUCUGUAUAUCCCACCGAUCAAAUCGGAAAAAAGGCUCCUAUUUUGUGUUUUCUGAAUGAAGGGUAGGUCUUUUGUGGCAUCCUCCUCUUGUGGAUAAAACCAGCAUCUAUUAUCCCAUUGAUAACUAACUUCCUAAGCAAGUUCCCUCUGCUGCUUUAUUCUUUCUGUUUCCUCUUUGUUAAUUUCUUUUCUUUCCUAUCUUUCCACUUCUGGAUUUCUUGUUGGGGAUUUUGUGCACUACCUGGAGAUUCUUGGCCCUGGACAUCUGUCAGGAUGCUCUGUUUGCAUAGAGGAGGCUUGUUGGCUGCGUCCGGUGGGGGCACAUCUUCCCUGUUGUGACGAAUGUAACUCCAGGGAGAGCAGUGUUCAACCUGCUGAUGUCAGCGAAAACUGCCUUCUGUGCUGCUGUUAAGCUGUUUCUUCGUGUUAGAGUUUGCUCCCCAGCCCAACCUGUUCCUUUCUUGAUGUCUACCUAAGAGGGCUACAUGUGAAAGAUUGUCACUUCUUGUUACAAAGAUGCUUCCUGCCUGGAGAAUGUGGAACUCUCUCAAUGAAAGCCAACAUGAGUUAACAGAAUUAAGGUGUGUGUGACUGCUCGUGCACGUGUGACCGCGUGUGUGUGCGUACGAGUGUGUGUGGGGGGGGUGGGUGGGCACGAGAAGCAAGAGACAGAAUGAGAGGGGAGGGCUCCACGUGGAGGGAGACCCACUAAACAGGUUUACAAAAUGCCAACAAGGCUGGAGCGGGAGUGCUAAUUUGCCGCGAUGCGUGCAGGCCACUGAUAGCAAGUUGGGCCCGUGACAUUCUGACACUGUCUCUCAGGAAAGGGAAGGACACAGAGGACGCCCGUGUAAUUGGAAAGCCAGCUGAGAUCUGAGGCGGCUGAGGACGGGGAGGAAGCAUUCUCUGCACAAUGGCGUUGGUUGAAGGUUGUAUAUAAGGUGGCCUUAUUAAAGUGACAAGGCGAUUUAAUUCCUUUGUGCACGAUGAUUCUACUUCAUUGAUUUACAAUGGGAAGGAUAUAAUUUUGCUAGUGUUGGCAAAAAGCUCAAAUGUCAGCCUUUUCAAAUUACCAUACUUGCCUUGUUCAGGAUGAAUAAUGAAUAAGUCACCUUUUGUCUACAGUUAAAUAUUCUUGAAUAAAUACAAAGAACAUAAAAGACAUAAAUGAUGGCCUGAUUUAUAUUUAAAAUAAAGAUCAACAUUGUGAUAAAUGGUUGAAAACGCUGUGUGUGUAGCAAUAUGACUCUCCUGAUAAUUACAUUAUCGAUGAGGGAGCAGCCCAGGUGUAGACGGCGGUUGGGACACACACCGCUCACCUGCGAGGCCACGUCAGGCUGUGGUCCCUAAGGGCUUCGUGAGGGGCAGCCCGGGGCCCAACAGACCCCCCCCCGUCAUGCGCCCCCAAAGUCCAUGAAGGGCCGGGAGCCCCGGGACCCCGUGACCCUCGGCGCCAGGAGGCACGGAGGCUGAUUCACCCGGGGCCGAGGGUGGCUCUCUGUCACCGUUGGGACAGGUUUGUAAGAAAUGCUGGACGAGAGCAGGAGAGCAGCCUCAUCGGGAAACUUGGCAAAUCUGCGGCUGAACAACUGGCAUACCUGUACGGUCAAAUUCCGUGCAGCCGCUGGUGGGGCAGGAUGUGAGAGCCUCUCCUGAUGGACACAUGUGCCUGCUUUACUCUCACGAAAAAAGCACGUUCUACUCCAGUGUGAAAAGAAAAUCUUAUUUUUAUUAAAAAUGUGUAUAUAUGUGUUGGACUCAUUUUCUCUAGUUUCCUGAAGAAACAGAACCAACAGAAUGCGUGUGUGUCUACAGUUAAAUAGACAUAUAUGUAUACUGUAUACGUGUGUUUGAGAGGCAGAUUUAAGGAAUUUGCUCACAUGACUGUGGGCCUGGUGAGUCUCAGAUGCACAGGGCAGCCUGGAGAUUCUGACGAGCUGGUGUUGUGGUUCAAUGCCAAAGGCCGUCGGGCACAAUCCCCUCUUCUUGGGGAGACCUCAGUCUUAGCCUUCGCCUGAUUGGAUGAGCCUCCCCCCCCCCCCAAUUACGGAGGGUAAUCUCCUUCACUCAGUCACUGAUUUAAAUGUUAACCACCCCUAAAAAGUAAUUUCAUUGAGAUUUCCAGACUGACUUUUGACCAAACAUCUGGGCCCCGUGGCCUUGCCAAAUUGACAUGUGAAAUUAUCACUAUAUAUGUACGACUGAAAGAAAACACAUCAAUGCUUAUUUCUGUGUGAUUUUUCUUUUCUGUAUAUUUACAUUUCCUAAUUGUUUUUUCAAUGAACUAAUUGUAUUUUUCAAUGGAGAACUAAUACAACAAAAUAUGUUUUUUAAAAACCUUGAGUUCCAAAUCUGUGUGAAAACCACCCGACUCUUGGUACCUCCGGGAUCGUGUUCAGCGGUGAUACGUUUGGGUGCUGGACAUUUUCCCUUUUGCUGUCGGGGAGCUCCUUCUGUCCGCAGCGCGCUUGCUGGAGCAUCAUUGCGGAGAUGCUGGAGUCUCCUGGAGUCUGGGGGAGGUCGAUCUGCUUCCCUGUCCCAGCUCUGCCACUGACAUCAUGUGUCCCAUCCCUAGACACACCACUCACUUUCUGGGCGUCCACGUCCUCAUGCAUCAGUGGAGGUGUGAAGAGAGGGAGCGUUUGAGGGUCCUGAUGAUGGUGGGGUGAACUGAACUGGCGUUAGGCGGGCUGAGCUCCGUGGUGCCAAGCCCCGCACGGCGUGUGGAGUUGUACUGAAAACCAGAUCUGGUCUGCGUCCCUCACGCCUUUUGAGCGUCCUGCUGGACAUCCACGUAGGCGGGAAGAUGGUGGGUCCUGAGGCUGCCCCAGCCUCCGUGCGCACGCGGUGCGUUUCUGCACACCAUCAGUGUCACUUAUUUUCUCCCUGAGGGUGCAGCUGCAAAGGAGACUGAGGAGACUGUGUCCUGGCUCGCGUCUGGGAUUUCCCGGGACCCACUGCAGAACGUGAGUGGGGCCUGGCCGCGUGGGCACACCGCCCUUCCACGCGGGCUCGCUGCGACCGCCUCGCGUCUUCUGCGCACGGGGUCUGGGCGUACACGUUACCUUACUGUGCGUUGCUCAUAUUUCUGAUUUACGUUGUAGUUACCGUUCUCUGCAUGUUGAAACUUAGAAGUAGAAAGACCCUGCGUCCAUACUUUUUGCUUUGGAACAGUACAGGGGCCGCUGCCACUCCGGUCAGUUGGCGGAGAGCCACCCAGACGUUCCGUAAAACAUUCCGAUUCCACAGUUCUGUUUUAGAACGACCGGAAACACUACACGUGUGUCCUCAGUUUUCUUAGGAGACCGUGUGUUUCCUACUUUCCUUUGUCCAUAUUUGCAGUGGAGAAAGAAGCUCUGGGGGCCCCCUGUUUCCUUCUACCUCCGCCCCCAGGUCCUGACCCAAGAGGGCCUCAUCACUGGCUGGAUUGUCGAGGCCCCCUUGUGGGGUCUGGAUUACUUCCGCUGCCCAUCUCCACCGCGCUCCUCACACGGCCUCAGACACCCCUGUCCCGGGUGCAGUGAAGAUCAGUCUGCUCGAUCAGGGACCACAGGUCCUGACCCAAGGUUGGGUCGGGUUCCGUUGCACACUUGUAGCUGCUCUUGGUUUUUCUUUGUCGCGCAGAGGCUGUGCACAUGUCACGGCUUGUGACGAUUGUUUAGUGCCCCACCACAGGCAUCCCCCUGCCUGGCCUCCCUUCUGUCCCCACACCCAGCCCGGCUCUGCCACACACAGUGGGUGCCGGUCACAUGAAUGCAGUGGGCACAGGAACCAAAAGGCUGCUUCACGCUUCUCUCUCGGUCGCAGUGCCUCCCCUAGGGGACUGAGGUCAUUCCAUCCCUCUCCUGUGUGAACACACCUCACGCAGAGGGACCGUCCCUCGCUGCUCCCUGCACGCCCUCCAUCCAUUACCUUGAUGUUGCAGACAGACAUGCAGAAGGUGUUCUCUUCUGUGCGAGGCCAUCAUUUACCCUGAGGUGCCCGUGAGGAGAACGUGUGUGUGUGUGCCUGAGCGUGUGUGCAUGUGUAGCAGUGUGAGCACGCGUGUACGUGGGUCUUUGAGUGUCGGUGUGCGUGUGUACGUGUGUCCGAGCGUGCACGUGAGUGUGUAUGUGUGUGCACCAGUGUGAGCGUGUCGGGGGGGGGGGGCAGCGCAUGUGUGCAGGAAGGAGUCACUCACAGGGUCAGGCCCGGCCCAGCAGGAGCACGAGGACUCAGGACGCAGGCACAGACGGGACGCUGCGGAGGGAGGUCUGUGGCCCAGUUGGAGGAGAGGUGAGUGGGUCAUGGGGGGGGUGCGUUCAGGAGGUCUGCUGGGGGCCGGGCGCCCUCAAGGCCCUGGGUUCCUUCUCUGCUCGCUCUGGUGCUGGAGACGGUUUUCCUGGUGCGAGAGCUGGUUUCUCUCGGAAAGCCGAGCCAGCCACAGGAGGCCUGGUAUCUGUGCACGUGUUCUGGGCACCUGUUCCCCCCCUGGGAGGACAGCAGGGGAGGUGUCCUGAGUGGAAGACAGUGCUCAGUCCUCGUUUCCACAGGAGGCGUGGGAGAGUCACCAGGAGCAGAGCAGGACACCCAAUGUGCCAGGUUCCGCACAGGUGAGCCACCAGUGGUCCCCAGUGCUGGCCCCCCGGCUUCUGCCUCAUCCUGUCGCUGGAUGUCACAUCUGGAGCAGGUUACAUCCAUCCUGGGGAAUAUGAACGUGCCCGUCACACGUGAAAACAAUCCUUUCUGCCUCUGUGCCUCUCUUCCUUCCCAAAUGUCGAGCUGCUGUGCAGACACGUGUCACUCUGGCCCGGUCCCUGAGAGAAGAGGUAUUUGGCAGGACUCAUGCUGCUUUCACAGAUGGAAAAUUCGGGGCGUGAAGUUAGGAUGCGUUCCGCUCGCCUCUGUGGCUGCAUCAGAAUUGGACACAGGACAUCCAGCACCGGCUGGACUGAAGCUGUGCCAUGUGACUUGGGUGCAAAAGAAGCUGAACAGGGCGGUGAUUCCUGAUGAAUGCAGCGGUGAGGUCACGGAGGACAUGCGGGCGCGGAGACCGAAGGCCCCGCGUGAGCUUCACCGACUUCCUUGUUGGCAGCUGAGACCGGACCAGCGUGGCCUCGAUGCCAGACCCCUUUACUGCUUCAUUAACCCUCUGACCAGCCCCCGAGAUAGUACAGCUUGUCACCCUCACCUCCCAGUGUGAACCAGAAGGAACAGAGAGGCUAAGAGACUUCCCCACGGCCACACAGUGCAGGAUUCCUAUUCCACUGUCUCCACGACCGCCCUCUCUGCCGCUCUGCCUGAGGCCGGACUGGUCGGAAAGACACCACUGGGUGUGUGUCUCUGAAUCCCCCCAGUUGGGGGUGGGGCUGGUGGCCGAGGCAAGUGGACGCAGUGUUCCGUGGGGGACACGUGCUCGAGAAACCGAGAAGGAGGUCUGAGCAGAGCCCCUGCCCAGAUGGGAGUGGGUGCUGGACCCAGCCAUUUCCCUGUCAGCUCUGGAGUCUAAGACAAGCCCUUAGAGAGCUGUGACUGUGUUUGACUAUGUCUAAUGAUUUUGCAAGAAGGGGGUCAAGAUGGGCACUGGUGUCCUGGGAGGAGAAUGGUGGGGCAAUGGGAUUGAGAGCGAGUUUUCUGCUGGUUCCUCAUCCCAUCAAGACUGUGGGCCCAUCUGAUCAAGACCAUGACUUCCUCUGAACUGGAUCUGCAGCGUGUCCUUGGUUGGCAAGGCUGGAGAACGCCGGGAGCCACGUCUGCUGGGUGCUGGCCUGCGGCAGGGUCCCUCCCUCAAGUGCAGGCUCCCGGGCCCAGCGGCCGGUGCACACUCCCCCUUUCUGGGCAGAACGCCGUCUGUCCACACAUAACCAGCCCAGAUGGAACUCGUGACAUCAUCUCAUGGAACCGAACUGUGCUUGGGGCACUUUGCCCAAGUGAACCGUGGUUGUAUUUACCGUGCUGGUCGCAGAUGCCGCGUCUGAAGUCACCCGGGAAGCGGGCAGAGAGCUGACGGGAGCAGGUACGGCGUGCGUGGGUCCUGCCUGCGGGCUGCACCAGCCAGGGUGUUUUCUGGGCUUCGCGGACUUCUCUGGUAUUCUCACUCCGCUUUGCGAUUUGGAGGUGCCGUAGUCUUUCAUGAGUAUCACUCAGAUGCAGCUAAAACCCCUCAUCUCUGGAGUGCGAACUGGGUGCCCUCGACUUUUCUCUCUGCAAAACGGUGAACCUUUCGUCAUACCAGAUGCAUUCUAAAAUAUCUGAUGUAUUCAGUUUUAAUGCAAAAGAGAUUUAAUGGAAGAACUUUUGUUUUAUCUGAGGAAAAAAAAAGCUUUGUCUACCGUUGAGAGUUUCUGGUUUCAUUCGUUGGACAGAAAGCUGUAAAAUCCCUUCCUUCUGCCAUAAUAGGCUUAAUGCACUUGAAGAAUAAACGUGGGGUCCCGAGCCUCCUUUGUGCCUCACUCAGCCUUUGCUGGCGUGUCCCUUCUGAUCUUUUGUAUACCCAGUCCCUUUUUUCUAUUUAAAAAACCUUCACCCAAAUACCCAUCAAAUGCGACUGCAUUAAAUAUAAAUACAUCCUCCCUCAAUUGUCUACAAAGCUGUGCUCAGCGGCUCUGCCAGGAAAAUGCAAAGCCAACCUUUUAAAGCCUUCUUUGAAAACCCGGAGGAAAAUUACUCCCAGACUCUGUUGAUUUCAUAAAUAAGUAAAAGAAAAAAAAUAACUUAAAUGCAUAAAA